rnacentral:rRNA from 1 species
GAACCCUGACGGAGCAACGCCGCGUGCGGGAGGACGGCCUGUGGGUUGUAAACCGCUUUUCUCAGGGAAGAAGUUCUGACGGUACCUGAGGAAUCAGCAUCGGCUAACUCCGUGCCAGCAGCCGCGGUAAUACGGAGGAUGCAAGCGUUAUCCGGAAUUAUUGGGCGUAAAGCGUCCGUAGGCGGUGAGUUAAGUCUGCUGUCAAAGCCUGCAGCUCAACUGUGGAGUGGCAGUGGAAACUGAUUGACUAGAGUGCGAUAGGGGUAGAGGGAAUUCCCAGUGUAGCGGUGAAAUGCGUAGAUAUUGGGAAGAACACCAGUGGCGAAGGCGCUCUACUGGGUCGCAACUGACGCUGAGGGACAAAAGCUAGGGGAGCG